CCUACGGGAGACAGCAGUGAGGAAUAUUGGUCAAUGGACGAGAGUCUGAACCAGCCAAGUAGCGUGAAGGAUGACUGCCCUAUGGGUUGUAACCUUCUUUUAUAUGGGAAUAAAAUGUUCCACGUGUGGGAUUUUGUAUGUACCAUAUGAAUAAGGAUCGGCUAACUCCGUGCCAGCCGCCGCGGUACUACGGAGGAUCCGAGCGUUAUCCGGAUUUAUUGGGUUUAAAGGGAGCGUAGGUGGAUUGUUAAGUCAGUGGUGAAAGUUUGCGGCUCAACAGUAAAAUUGCAGUUGAAACUGGCAGUCUUGAGUACAGUAGAGGUGGGCGGAAUUCGUGGUGUAGCGGUGAAAUGCUUAGAUAUCACGAAGAACUCCGAUUGCGAAGGCAGCUCACUGGACUGCAACUGACACUGAGGCUCGAAAGUGUGGGUAUCAAACAGGAUUAGAUACCCGUGUAGUC
rnacentral:rRNA from 1 species